rnacentral:rRNA from 1 species
CCUACGGGCGGCAGCAGUGGGGAAUCUUGGGCAAUGGGGGAAACCCUGACCCAGCGACGCCGCGUGGAGGAUGAAGGCCCUUGGGUUGUAAACUCCUGUCAGGUGGGAAGAAAUGCUUCCGGUAAACAGCCGGGAGAAUUGACUGUACCACCGGAGGAAGCCCCGGCUAACUCUGUGCCAGCAGCCGCGGUAAUACAGAGGGGGCAAGCGUUGUUCGGAAUUAUUGGGCGUAAAGGGCGCGUAGGCGGCCAAUCAAGUCGGAUGUGAAAUCCCUCGGCUCAACCGAGGAACCGCACUCGAUACUGCUUGGCUCGAGUCCGGGAGGGGAUGGUGGAAUUCCCAGUGUAGCGGUGAAAUGCGUAGAUAUUGGGAAGAACACCGGUGGCGAAGGCGACCAUCUGGACCGGAACUGACGCUGAGGCGCGAAAGCCAGGGGAGCGAAUGGGAUUAGAUACCCGUGUAGUC